rnacentral:misc_RNA from 1 species
GAUGAAGAACGCAGCGAAAUGCGAUAAGUAGUGUGAAUUGCAGAAUUCAGUGAAUCAUCGAACCUUUGAACGCACAUUGCGCCCUUUGGUAUUCCAAAGGGCAUGCCUGUUCGAGCGUCAUUUGUACCCUCAAGCUUUGCUUGGUGUUGGGCGUCUUGUCUCUAGCUUUGCUGGAGACUCGCCUUAAAGUAAUUGGCAGCCGGCCUACUGGUUUCGGAGCGCAGCACAAGUCGCACUCUCUAUCAGCAAAGGUCUAGCAUCCAUUAAGCCUUUUUUUCAACUUUUGACCUCGGAUCAGGUAGGGAUACCCGCUGAACUUAAGCAUAUCAAUAAGCGGAGGA